AUCGAAUCCCACAUCGGGCUCCCUGCAUGGAGCCUGCUUCUCCCUCUGCCUGUGUCUCUGCCUCUCUCUCUCUCUCUCUGUGACUAUCAUAAAUAAAUAAAAAAAUUAUUAAAAAAAUUUAAAAAAGAAAAAAGAAAAAUGGCUCUGGUUAGCGCCACCUUCAGCCCAGGGCGUGACCCCGGGGUCCGGGGAUCGAGUCCCGAGUCGGGCUCCCUGCAUGGACCCUGCUUCUCCCUCUGCCUGGGUCUCUGCCUCUCUCUCUCUCUCUCUCUCUCUCUCUGUCUCCCAUGAAUAAAUAAAUAAAAUUUUUAAAAACAGAGAGAGUGGGGGAUCCCUGGGUGGCUCAGCAGUUAGCACCUGCCUCCAACCCAGGGUGUGAUCCUGGAGUCUUGGUAUCGAGUCCCACGUCGGGCUCCCUGCAUGGAGCCUGCUUCUCCCUCUGCCUAUGUCUCUGCCUCUCUCUUUCUGUGUCUCUCAUGAAUAAAUAAAAUCUUCAAAAAAAAAAAAAAUGAAUGCAAGCCAAUCAUCUUGGAGAGAGAAUCUGUCCAUGUGCAGUUGCUCUGGUUAAAGAAAAAAAAACACCACACGAUCUCCCAUGAACGAAUAAAACCUUAAGAAAGAAAGAAAAGAAAGAAAGAAAGAAAGAAAGAAAGAAAGAAAGAAAGAAAGAAAGAAAGAAAGAAAAAAAAGAAAGAGAGAAAGAAAUAGAGAAAGAAAGAAGAAAGAAAGAAAGAAAGAAAGAAAGAAAGAAAGAAAGAAAGAAAAGAAAGAAAAAGAAAGAAAGAAAGAAUACACGACAGUGUGAUGAGGUGAGGGUUGGGUUGUCUUAUGUCCCCUCCUCUCAAGGGCUGACCAUCCUUUCACUCUUAAGGCCGGGCCCUGACCCCCGGGGGGCAGCUGAGGACACCCAGAGCCACCCGCCCGGAGCCGUCCAGCGAGCAUCUGAAACCAGUAUCAACUGCUGUGCUGGCCGGGCAGGCUCCCCGGGCUCCAGCCCUGCGGUGCACCCUUCACAGCUUCCACUGUCCACCUGCGAUGAAAAUUUCCCCCGUUGUGUCGUGGAACCUGCUGGAGCAAGAGCUGAAACAGCAGUAAGGGGACGACUCCCCUAUGGGUCAGUGGUCCUUCAUUAUUCUGAAAUCCAAAAACUUUGAAGACAAAAUGUUUUAAGAGAAGUUUUCAGCAAACUUAUUUGAUGAUAAAAUAUACCUGGACUGAGGUUAGUCUUUGUUCCUUUUCUUACACUUUUUGUAAAUGUACACACUGAGAACAUACAUCAUACAUGAAUCAUUUUGUCUUGUGAAAAGCUAAAAAAUUCUGAUAUAGCGUGGCUCUGAAGUUUUCCUAUAAGGAAUUGGUGUAUCUGAAUAUGUAUAUCAAAUUCACGAAUAAAACCAAUAGUCUAGUGGCUCGCUUUCUAGAG
rnacentral:lncRNA from 1 species